GCCAGCUUUAGCUCAUAGAAGUUUCCUGUUCAUGACCGACACAGUGCCCUGAAGGAACAGUAGUGCAGAGAGUAAAGAAACAGUUAGCUGGCUUUGAUCCAUGGCAAAGGAUCUUGCUCAGUGGGCAUGCAGACUUGGGCUAUUGGCCAUGCAGAGUGAAAGAGAAACUAUGAAUGCAGCAGGAAAUCUGGCAGCACAACUGAAUGGAAUCUCAAGGCUCUCACCCUACUGAAGGGAGAUGCUGUCACGAUGGCACCACUGAAGAAGGGAAAAUCACUUGGCCAGAAAAGAAGCUAGAGUGCAGGGAGGGCCAGUAACGACCCAUUACUAAGCUCCACUCUUCAAGUCCACCACCUAAACACCUCCACACAGAGACCACACUUCCAAUGAAGGAACCCCGGGGAACAAACCAUGUCCGCAUCACAGCAGAGACUUGAAGAGGGCUUUGAACAUGGGUUCCACCACCCGUGACCCCUGCAGACAGUCUUGCCAAUCCAGCUCUGGAUAUGAUGCACCAUCUAGGGCUUUUUUUUUUUUUUUGGUACCGGGGAUUGAACGCGGACCCUUGCGCUUCCGCAGCAGGCUGUGAAACCACUGAGCUAAAUCCCCGGUCCCAACACCAUCUAGUUUUUCUGCCCCUGACCUCAGGCUGUCCAGG
ensembl:lncRNA